rnacentral:rRNA from 1 species
UGGGGAAUUUUGGACAAUGGGUGAAAGCCUGAUCCAGCCAUGCCGCGUGAGUGAAGAAGGCCUUCGGGUUGUAAAGCUCUUUUAGUCGGAAAGAAAGAGUUGCAAUGAAUAAUUGUGAUUUAUGACGGUACCGACAGAAAAAGCACCGGCUAACUACGUGCCAGCAGCCGCGGUAAUACGUAGGGUGCGAGCGUUAAUCGGAAUUACUGGGCGUAAAGGGUGCGCAGGCGGUCUUGCAAGUCAGAUGUGAAAGCCCCGGGCUUAACCUGGGAAUUGCGUUUGAAACUACAAGACUAGAGUGCAGCAGAGNGGAGUGGAAUUCCAUGUGUAGCAGUGAAAUGCGUAGAGACGUGGAAGAACACCGAUGGCGAAGGCAGCUCCCUGGGUUGACACUGACGCUCAUGCACGAAAGCGUGGGGAGCAAACA